GGGCGUUUAGCUCAGUUGGUAGAGCGCACGCUUUGCAUGAUCGCGUGGGACUGUUUCUAUAAGAACCGCGUUGCCUGCGUGAGGUCAGGAUUUCGAGCAUCCUAUCGUCCA